rnacentral:rRNA from 1 species
CACGAACCGUACGACCGUUAUUCGGAAUUACUGGGCUUAAAGGGUUUGUAGGCGGCCUUGUAAGUCAGGUGUGAAAUCCCUCGGCUCAACCGAGGAAUGGCGCUUGAUACUGCAAGGCUUGAGGGAGACAGGGGUAAGCGGAACUGAUGGUGGAGCGGUGAAAUGCGUUGAUAUCAUCAGGAACACCGGUGGCGAAAGCGGCUUACUGGGUCUCUUCUGACGCUGAGGAACGAAAGCUAGGGUAGCGAACGGG